AUUUUCUGGAAUAGUUCUUACUUCCUCUCAUUUGUGGUUUAUCAGUGGUACAGAUCACAAAGGAAAGGCAAGAUCAAUAUUCAAAUCUUUCUCUUUAUUUGCCAGUUUUCAAAAUAAUGAAGUAACUCACCAUUAUCCUCUAAUGAUGAUCUAUUAGAGUUUUUUCUUUCUUUUAAAAAAAUCAUUAUGAUCUCAUGGCUUUAAACAAAUUUGAUCUGUUUAUAUCCACUGAAAUUAUUAACCUCAUUGAUGCUCAAAUUGAGUACAGAGCUUUUCAUUAUCAUUUGAUCAUCUUGGAUAAACCAUGACAUAGGCCAAAUCACUUGUUCACAUCACAGCGGGAACAAGUGAUAGUUUACAGGUAAGACCCCCAGACGGCUAAUCUUUUCCUUGAAGACAUGUUACAAUUACUGGCCAGCACGUGUUCAGGAACAAAGUACAGUGUUAUCCACCCAUUUAUUUUACAAUUAUUCAUUCACUGAAUAAUUAUUCAAUUGAAACACUCAUUGAACCAACAGACAUUUAUUGAAUACCUACUGUACUCCAGCUGCUGUGUUAGACAUAGGGAUCUUAAUAAGCCAAUAGAAAUAGACAUGUUUCCUGCCCUCAGAGAGAUCAUAUCUAGUCAGGGAAAUAGAGGCACUAAUUAAAUAUUUGCACAAAUGCAUGUUAAAUUGUAAUGUGACAGGAACUAACAAGAUUAUUCUGAGGAGCCAUGUGGAAGUGAUCAGGAGAGCUGGACCCUUCUGGAAGGCCAGAGAAAGCCUCCCUUAGAGAAGAUGGCUUCCCUGACGUCUGAAGGAGGGAAACAAAAGAGGGAGUAUAUGUGGUUCAGGGCAAGAGGUGAGGCAGCACGUGCUGCCAUAACAUCUCAGCCUCCAUGUGAGGGACAUCUCUCCCAGCCUCUGUGUUUUUCUUCAGGACCUGAGACCUGCCACACCGACAACAUGCCAGCUGUCAGACGGAGGGAAGCAAGAAACUUUGGCAUCACUAUUCCUGCCACCUUCACCAUGGAGUUCCUAUAAAUAGCAUAAUAGGAUAAACCAGCCUCAGAGGGAGAGCAGCAGGUGGCACUCGUUGUAUCCAGAGCUGAAGGUGUAAAUGAAUUUCAAUGCCCUUUUGAUACCCCAAACAACAAUAAGAUUACAAAGAAUGAAGCUUUUGUUAGAGAGCCCAAUAUUUGAAGUAAAUAAUAAUGAUGAUGAUACUUUUCAUUAUCUGGCAGCUUUUCCCUUUGAAAGAGUUUUCAAAGAAGAAAGCGUCCUGUUUUCAGAACAGCCAGUGUCCCCUCUUAUCUCUCUAAAGAGUCUCUCUGAACUCCCUCUUUUAAGAAAGGGGAGGUGAUACUGAUCUGAGCCAGGUGGUAGGUGGAGGGAAUUAAGUCUGUUGUUGAAAUGUUACUAUAAAACACAUCUUGCUGUAAUUACCAGAAAAGGAAACCAUGGUGGCCUUCAUCAGGAAUGUUCUUUGUUGUCCCCCUGUUUCUCAGCUUUAGCUUCUGUCCAUUCCUUGUCAUUUCAGAUUUACCACUACUUUUUAGAGCCUGUUUACAGUUCCAUCUCCUUUUCUUUCUGCCCUGAUUGCUCCAUUUUGAAGAAAUCUGCUCUCUGACCACAUAGCAUGAACAGAAACAAAACUUGUCACAUGGUUCGGCAUCUGUAUCCUCCUCUAGCUGUGUCUGACUUGGCCUCCAAUGUGGUCUCAUGGUGUCCAACACAUUUCUGGAUUCACAGUGGCCACAUUCUCCUUUAGUCACAGUCUACCCAACCAGGGAACACCAUACUGGGAUCCAAAGAGGAAUGGGAGAUGAUGAUGAAAGUUUAGCCCUUCUGACCUUGUGACCUCUUUCUCACCUUCUGUCUUUACCUGUGUCUUUUCAGCUUCCAGCUAUGGCUCUUCUCUCUCUCUGUCUGGUCCACACUUACUCCUCCAGCAGCUGGCAGGUUGAGCAAACUCCAUGUGGUCAGCUCCACUCUUCCCCCAGCUGUUGCUGUGCAAACUCCUUUGACUCCUGGUCCCUCUGGGUGACUGUUGUGCCUUAGCCACCAUGAGGAGGAAUGGACCACAGGUGCUCAGUUGUAAAUAAUUGACCUUAUGCCUUGCAAUCGACUAAAAUGAAGCCACACUUUAUAUUAGAGCCACAGCUGUACAUAAUCUGACCCUCUGCUUCUCUAGACUUUUUCCUCCUUUCUCUCUCCUUCCCUCACCAAAUUCUGGCCUUUGUGCCCCUUGAAGCUUCAGGGCCCUUUCACUCCUCUUCUGUCUGGCGUGCUUGCCCUACAGCUGGUCCAGCUGUUGUUCAUCUUCUCAGUUCACCCUUCCUAAACUUGACAUCCAAUUACUUUCUCCGCCUAUUUUCACUUCCUUCACAGCAAUACAUAACUAUCUAUAAUUCCCAUUUGUUAAUUUGCUUACCAUAGAUCUUCUCCCAUCAAACGAAUGUAAACUCUGUGACAGCAGGGGCUUUAUAUUUGCUAUCACCAUGAAGCCACUUAAUAUAGAGAAUGCUUAAUGAUGAGUGUUGGCAUGGAUGUGGAAGGAAUGAGAACACAGAGAAAGUUCUUUAGUAAUGUCUGUUCUCUGUGUGCUUUCUUUCACUUCAGGGACCAUACUCUCUCUAUUGUUACAUACAGUUUGGCACCUAAUUGAAAACUGAAUUGUUAAUGUCACAGAUGCCAAGUUGUUUUAGUGAGCUGUGGCUGGAGAUCCAUACCAACCCUUGGUUAAUCACCCAUUGUUACUCACAUUUGAAUACAGUGACGCCAAUGUCUAGUUGAUCGUUUGCUGAAUCUACCACGUGGAUGAGACUGUGGUGCUACCUCUACUGUGUGGAGAUAAUACGCCACCAGCAGCUGCGUCUGCUAAGGCCUAUUCAGUGUUCAAAGGGGGUUCUUCCCAGUGGGCCUUGUUGAUAUGUACACCAAAACCGACAUCUGGGAAGAUGAAGUAAUACCAAUUACCUGCAUUUCACAAUAAGCAAACCAAAGUUCAGAGCCUCAAUUGCAAAGUUGUUGAAAUAAAAAAUAAAUGAACAGACGUGCUGGUUGUGAA
ensembl:lncRNA